GUGAGAGAGUCAGCCGGGAGGAGAAGUGCAAAGCAGCCUAAAUGCAAUCUACUCUAAUUGAGGCACGGUAUAUGCUCCACCAUGUUCUGCAAUGUAGCAUUAUGGAACAUUAGUGCCUCUUCAAGUGGAGUCUACAAUCUAAUUUCCCUGGAGUCUGGAGCAUCUGGAGGAGAGAGGACCCACUCCAUACAGAUUCCUGUUCAUCAUAACAGUUGGAAAUUCUAAAUGUAUUCAAACUUGUUCUUGUGUGAAGUUUUCUUCUUCUGAGGCACAACACAAGUAUUUAUAGGCACAAAGUAAACGUAAAGUCACCAAAUACAUAGGACUAAAAUCUCCUAAGGUGACAGCAGAUUGUAAAUUUGAUACAAGGAAGCCCGAGGCAAGGUGAGAAUGACUGUAAAUAAGCUUCCACAGAAAAAGAAUGUGCCUCUCCCAGUUUCUAGCCAACAUAUAACAAACAGCCCGAGGGCUGCAUAACUUCUAUAAGGAUGGACUGAAUCUGUUGUCGUGAGAGCUGUU